CCAGUAACAUCAUUAAACAUCUACUAUAGAGUCAUGGCAAGAUUAACAGCCGGCUACGGAAGCUACUUGCGCAAGAAGUACCUUUCCAGAUUAAAUCAGGAAUUUGACUGGCUGCAAUGU